rnacentral:rRNA from 1 species
GGCUUUGCUAAGUCUCCUCUCUACCUUUGUGACUAUUAUACCUGUUGCUUCGGCGGCGCCCGCAAGGGUGCCCGCCGGUCUCAUCAGAAUCUCUGUUUUCGAACCCGACGAUACUUCUGAGUGUUCUUAGCGAACUGUCAAAACUUUUAACAACGGAUCUCUUGGCUCCAGCAUCGAUGAAGAACGCAGCGAAACGCGAUAUGUAAUGUGAAUUGCAGAAUUCAGUGAAUCAUCGAAUCUUUGAACGCACAUGGCGCCUUCCAGUAUCCUGGGAGGCAUGCCUGUCCGAGCGUCGUUUCAACCCUCGAGCCCCUGUGGCCCGGCGUUGGGGAUCUGCCACGGCAGGCCCCUAAAACCAGUGGCGGACCCGAAGGCCCUCUCCUUUGCGCAGUAGCAUCAGCCUCGCAUUGGGAUCCCUCGGCGUCCUGCCUCUAAACCCCCCACAAGUCCGCUCCGGCGGCACCAAGGUUGACCUCGGAUCAGGUAGGAAUACCCGCUGAACUUAAGCAUAUCAAUAAGCGGAGGAA